CCCUUAGAUGUUCUGGGCUGCACGCGUGCUACACUGAUAUUGCCAAUACGUCAUUCUUGUCCGAAAUGGAUUGGGUAAUCAAGUAAUGAAAUUUCAUGCUUGGAAUCGGUAAUUGCAAUUUUAUCGUGAACGAGGAAUUCCUAGUAAGCACUAGUCAUCAGCUAAUGUUGAUUAUGUCCCUGCCCUUUGUACACACCGCCCGUCGCUACUACUGAUUGGGUGUUCAAGUGAGAUGCUUAGACCCUUGUUGCAUGGUUCAUUAUUGUGCUCCGAAAGGAAAAAGUUUCAAGCUUGAGUGUCUAGAGGAAGUAAAAGUCGUAACA
rnacentral:rRNA from 1 species